CGUUAAACAAGUGGUAUAUUGACUUUUUCACUCCCUGUCAAAGUUUCCGAAUAUGAUGUUGUCAUAUAGAUGAAAUGCAAAUUAGUUUUUUAUUGUUUUACAUCAUAUUACAUCCAUCUAUCCGAUAAUUUUGACAGCAAAAAAGUUAAUGAAGAUGAGGUUUUUCAUUAAUAUAAAAAUUGUUCUUAUGGAAUAGUCGAAUUUUCAUUUCGAUAUUUAUAUUAACAGACAUUAACAGACAGUUUCCUGCCGGGCGCUCGAUUUCCCGUCUGUGAUAUCGAUAAAUUUCGGAAACCCUCAAUCCCAGUCCCUUCUCUCGACGUUACCAGCUGAAACUAGUGGCCGAAGCCCACUUGAUAUAUUCGUCUGAUAUUCUAGCAUGUUGCAUGUUAGGUGUGGAGCAAUAGACCUUUCCCCUUUUGAGUGAAAUUUUGAUCUAGAACUAGCCUGGACAAAAAUUUCA